GGCGGUGUGCCCGAGUGGCCAAAGGGAGCAGACUGUAAAUCUGCUUACCAGCCUUCCUAGGUUCGAAUCCUAGCGCCGCCA
rnacentral:tRNA from 1 species